rnacentral:rRNA from 1 species
GGUUGAUCCUGCCAGUAGUCAUAUGCUUGUCUCAAAGAUUAAGCCAUGCAUGUCUAAGUAUAAACAACUUUAUACUGUGAAACUGCGCACAGCUCAUUAUAUCAGCAAUAAUUUAUUUGAUGGUACCUUACUACUUGGAUAACCGUAGUAAUUCUAGAGCUAAUACAUGCGUAAAGUCCCGACUCUUGCGGGGAGGGAUGUAUUUAUUAGAUAAAAAACCAAUGCGGUCUUCGGGCCGGUAUUGUGGUGAAUCAUAAUAACUGAUCGAAUCGCAUAGCCUUGUGCUGGCGAU